rnacentral:rRNA from 1 species
AGCGCAGGUGGUUUAUUAAGUCUGGCGUAAAAGGCAGUGGCUCAACCAUUGUAUGCAUUGGAAACUGGUAGACUUGAGUGCAGGAGAGGAGAGUGGAAUUCCAUGUGUAGCGGUGAAAUGCGUAGAUAUAUGGAGGAACACCGGUGGCGAAAGCGGCUCUCUGGCCUGUAACUGACACUGAGGCUCGAAAGCGUGGGAGCAAACA